CCUUAAGGCCACCCUCGAUUCCGAACAAGCAUGAUUCCGCGUUGGAUCCUCCUGUAUUGAUCAUAUCAACACGCUGAGGAUCAUUAUUGAACAGUGCGUUGCAUACCGAUCACCAAUACACCUGCUGUUCAUAGAAUUCGAGAAGGCCUUUGAUAGGGUUGACAGGGAGUAUAUGUGGCCAAACCGUAUAUCAAGUGAGGUCCUUGAAAUGUGCCUUUUAUAAACGAAAGGGAAUAUAAUGCUAUGGUUGUUCAUUUCAAGAUCAAGACAUGGUUGAUAAAAUGUCAUUAGAAAAUUAUGUUAAAAGGCAGAACACUAAGACUGAGAAAUUUUAUGCAUUGGAAAAGUCCUCUUACAAAUUUUAAAAAGGAUUACUUCUAAAAAAAUAAUUAAAUUAUGGUUCAUUUGAAUAGAACCUUCAACACAUUUUAUCAGUUUCUAAGUAAAGGUCAAGACUGUUUUUUUUUUGUAUACCUUUGGGGCUUCCUCAAACAGUUAUUGUUAAAAUGGGACGAGCAAGCACUAGGCGAGGAGGAAGAAGCUAAAAUCAAAACUGACCGCAAGUGUGGGACGAAUCGUUAGUGCCGUUACAAAAAAGAGCUUUCUGCGUCUGGCUUCAAAUUCAUGAUUUUGGCGCCAAAAUUAAAGAAAAAAAAAGGGAUGUUAGGGCCAAUGAUUCAACAGUCAAACGUAUUAUUUCGAAGGCUUAUCACUUAUGGGAUCGUUUGCACAGCAUUGUGGGCGAUGUAACGGGUUGGGGUCCAAAACCUAAUAUGGUGCUUUAGGACCCCCGCAGACUUUUUAUCGGCAGAUAAUUUGGUUGGCUUUUUAAUCAGUAUGGAGAGGGAUGCAUAUACGCACACUACAGCGAUUUAGUAUCUGCCGAUAAAAAAGUUUAAUCAGCCAACUAUCGGCCGUCUGUUUAAUCAGUAUUGGCGCAUACACGCCUGCGCAUACAUGACGAUUGUUUAGUCGGCCGAUAGUUCAGUUCGCUCUGUGAUUUGGCUUCGUGUAGGUGUAUUUUGAAUAUAGCGAGGCCCAAAUCACAAUUAGAAAGUUCCGUCGAAAAGAUUUUCCUCCUCCGGAGUAUGAUGAGAGCAAUCAUUUUCCUGGACAAUAUUUUCAUUGUGGAACCGCUUCAACAGUUAGUUACAAACUAGUUCGAGAAUAGUCGGCCGGCUGUUGGAUAGUCUGCGCCCUGUUCACCAACCAAACUGUUUAGUUGGCUCGGUGUGCGCACUUUCAGCCCAACUCGACUAAACUAUCGUCCGAUAAAAAGUCUGCAGUUUGCGGGGGCCCUUAAACUUACAAUUUCUGACACUUUGCUUGAAUGCGCAAUAGUAUAUUAGAGUAUUGGAAAAGGUUUUCGCUUGAAUCAAUGGUCUGUUUGGUGUUUUGCCGAGGAUAUUACAGCAAUACAAAGCAACUAUACACAAGGCUAGAGUCGUAAAACAUUAUCUAGACUUCCGAAACAUGUCUUUGUUGAACUGGCCAAUAUACUCACCAGAAUUAAACAUAAUCGAAAAUGUUUGGGAAUGUUUCUCAUAAGGUCUAUGAAUCUAGUAAACAGUAUUAUUUUUUUGUAAAUGGAUAAAUUAAGACAACUUGAACUUCAAGCAACAUCAUGCUGGUCCAUUGUUUUUUUUU